rfam:Schistosoma haematobium scaffold2052_12, whole genome shotgun sequence.
CUUCAGCUGACGAGUCCCAAAUAAGAUGAAACGCAGGUCCCGAAU